rnacentral:rRNA from 1 species
AGCGAACGCUGGCGGCAGGCCUAACACAUGCAAGUCGAACGAAGCCUUCGGGCUGAGUGGCGGACGGGUGAGUAACACGUGGGAACGUACCUUUUGGUUCGGAACAACUCAGGGAAACUUGAGCUAAUACCGGAUGAGCCCUUAGGGGGAAAGAUUUAUCGCCGAAAGAGCGGCCCGCGUUAGAUUAGCUAGUUGGUGAGGUAAAGGCUCACCAAGGCAACGAUCUAUAGCUGGUCUGAGAGGAUGAUCAGCCACACUGGGACUGAGACACGGCCCAGACUCCUACGGGAGGCAGCAGUGGGGAAUCUUGCGCAAUGGGCGAAAGCCUGACGCAGCCAUGCCGCGUGAAUGAUGAAGGUCUUAGGAUUGUAAAAUUCUUUUACCAGGGACGAUAAUGACGGUACCUGGAGAAAAAGCCCCGGCUAACUUCGUGCCAGCCGCCGCUGUAAAAC